AUGGGAAUAAUCAAACUUGUCCCAUACUGUCUAUGUUACAGAGCUGUUGUGUAGAUAUGAUGACAAGAAAAAAAAGUCGAUGUGAAAACAUUAAAGUAGUCUCUGAAGGAGAAGAAAGUGUUAUUUCACUUGAAAAAAACUGAGAAGAGUGUGACUAGUCGAUGAUAUUUUGACCAUACAGCUGUUGAGCACUUCUGAGGAAGAGGAACAUGGAAAAGACAUUUACAUGGCAAAACUGAAUAGAAGGCCCUAGUUUACAAACUCCAGGGGCUCCACUCCAUUUGCUAUCAGCUAAGCAUACUCGGAGCGUGGACCCCUAUUUCUGCUUCUCCCAGGACACUGUAAAUCUCUCCAUCUGCCAUCAGUCUGGAGCUGUGGGCAUGCAGAUGAAAGGCGUUGUGGAUCUGUGAACUACCGCUCUACCUUCAGAGGAACUGACUUUCAGCUUUCAGCCACAUGCAUGAGAGGGGCUGAUUCCAUCUGUCGACCUGUCAGGCCGCCUCUCCUUUGGACAUCUUUCCUCCCUUCUUGGAGUUUCUUCAAUAAAACA